UACGUAGGGUGCGAGCGUUAAUCGGAAUUACUGGGCGUAAAGCGUGCGCAGGCGGUUUUGUAAGCCAGAUGUGAAAGCCCCGGGCUUAACCUGGGAAUGGCAUUUGGGACUGCAAGGCUUGAGUGCGGCAGGGGAGACUGGAAUUCCUGGUGUAGCAGUGAAAUGCGUAGAUAUCAGGAGGAAUACCGAUGGCGAAGGCAGGUCUCUGGGCUGACACUGACGCUCAUGCACGAAAGCGUGGGGAGCAAACAGG
rnacentral:rRNA from 1 species